rnacentral:piRNA from 1 species
UACCCCAUUGUAAUUUGAUAAGAUUUGCUCU